CAGUUGUCGAAGAAUCAACCCUCCUCGAUUCGUUGAUUUGAGAUCUGCAAUAAAAAAGAACUGAAAUUAAGCCAAAACCCACUUUAGAUACGAUGAUGUGUCAGCUGAAUGGUAGUAGUAUAUUCGAGUUGUGAUCUGCAUUUUUUUUUUUUUUGGGAUACCACGAAUGGAACUAGUGGGGUGAUUUAUAUACAAAUAUAUAAAAUCAAGAGAAAAGGUGAUGAAUUUUUAUUAAGUUCAAAAUCAGUCUUUGGGCUUGGAUUGAACCAACCCAGGCCGUUAAGCCCAUCUACGACCCUAACAUGCAAGCUUCUAGUAAUGGUCUGGAUCUGCUUUUAGGCUUUUAGCCCGUUUGUUACCUCAUCCAUUUUGCUGUGAAUUAUCUUUGCUGAGAAUAAUCUAUCAUCUUCUUUCAUUUUAUUUUUGCCAUAAUUUCUAGACUUGUUUUUUUUGCUAAAAUAUAAUUUCUAGACUUGUUAAUGUUACUAAUACUCUUUUACUAUAUUUUCACUGAAAUUUAAAGUCUAUAGAUGCAGUUCGCAAUAGCCUUGGUUUUUUUUUUUUUUUUUUUUCUCAAAUUGAUUUUAGAUAAAUAAAGAGACAAAGCCCAUUAACCUUACAAAGGCCCACGGCCAACCGACACAAAGGCCCAAGGCCCAAUCCGAAAACCACAAAAACAUACAAAGCAAGAUGGGCUUGAGCCCAGUCCAAGCCCAUCAUCCCGCGGAAACCCUAGACACAGUCGGUCAUUUGCCCUUCCACCUCCAUGCAAACGGCGUCGCCGGAAUCUGAAACGGCGUCGCCGCAAUAGCCUUGGUUUAAUAUGUGGUUAACUGAGAAUCUAUAUAUAUAAAGUAGAGUUCCCUCUCUCCAGGGUCCUACACGUCAGAUUCCACCUAAGAAAUUCAGGUCUUCUGGUGUCAACACGUGUCUUCCUACAAUAAAACUCUACGUUUCAUUUUCUGCUUCACACACUUCGGGUGAUUUCGCCAUUAACUUCAACCAUUAUUUCUUUCUUAAAAACAUAGAACUGACAAAAUCACAGAGCACUCUUAGACUUCCCUUAUUAUUAAUGUAUUCAUUAGAUUCUUCAAGUUUCCUUUACAGCUUCUCCAAUUCGUUUCUUUUUGCUUUUAGAUUUUCGAUUUUAUAAGAAUUCUUCAAUCCUCCGAUUUCUUUUGAAACGCCUGAGACGAAGAAACUGGUGACAAACUAUGGAUACCUCCCGAGAGAUCCAACUUUCGUCUCCGUGUCAAGAAAGAAAACAAGUUAAUCUAGAAACAGACAUCUUUGCUUGGCCUGCGGAAUCUCCAUCUUCGGCAGCGGCGGCUCUGACCGGCUUGAUAAUAUCUAUUUUCUCUGGCCAUCUAUCGCGUAGGGUUUUCUGAUUCUUCGAUCUAAAGGAGACAAAACUGCUUAAAUCGGCGUGACACUUCGGUUUGUAAAGGGUUUCGAUCACGUCCUUACACCAAUCUGAACAAAUUCUUCCAGAUUCAUCGCAUUAAAAAGGUAUGCUUUCAUUCUCUCCAAAUCAUCUACAUCUUUGAAUCACUUUUUUUUGCGAAGCAUAAAGAAUCAAUAUUCAGGAUUCGGACAUGGUGAAGAUCGCUCCUAGAAAUCCAGAAAGGUUGAAUCUUUGUAUCCUUUUAUGUAGUUUAUGUACCCAUUUUCAUUGACUCCAUAGGUGUCGUACCUUGAGAUUAAAAGUCUUUGAGAGAUUUAAGAAACAGUUCGAGAGUUCUCUGCAGAUGUACGGAUCAUGUUUCUUAGUAAAAACCUUUAAUUGUUUGUUUUUGUUGUGUUCUGCUCAGGUUUAGUGUUCAACAUGUUCUUCUUUUUUUUCUUACAGAACAGGAGAGAGACCAUGAUCAAGGAGAGAAUCAGAAACUGAGUCUAUAUCAAGCCUUUAGUCUAAAGACCCUCCUUGCAGAUUAUCUGCUUCUGAUAGCUUACAAAGGUACACAAAUCUCCCAACACCAUCUUAUGUACACACAAAAAAAAAUCUCUGCUCUGUUUGGUAUCGACUAUCUGAGUCACCCUUUGCUUAUAGUUAAAUGUAUGAUUAAUAAGAAGGCCAUUUUCUGCAUCCCAAGGAUCGGGUGACUCAUCAUCAUCAUUCCCUUACUUUAUUGAACUAAAUUGUUUCAUGAUAUCUCAUACUAAAGACUAUUGCAGAUAGAAUAAGCGGGUGUGUUCGAAUGCGCAUAGUGGCUUUGAUAGUUUCUGCCUUUGAGUUAUCUUCCCUUAAGUGUCGUUACUGUGCUUCAGUGUCAACUUAUAUCGUUUGGGGACACUCAGAUCUCUUUAUUUCCAUUCACGUUCUUAGUAAGACCUUAUUGUGUCUAAUUUAUGAGCUUCUUACUGAGGCUUUUCUGGACUUUAAGCUACUGAUGAAUCUCAUGUGUAUUUGUGCUUCUAAAAUUGGAAUGUAUUCCUCUUGAGUUUUUGUGAAUCGAUUUAAAUGUUAUUGGUCAUAAUUGGAUCGGUAUUACAUUGCCCUUCAACGAAUCGUAAUUCACAAUGUGAACAUACAUACGUUUGUGAACAUACAUACAUACAAAUUGUGAAGCAUUCAUAGUCUUCUCUAUUAUUCCAGCCUCCACAAUAAGACUUUCUCAAGUAAUGAAGUGUUACGAUCUUUUUUUUGCAGCUACAUACGUUUGAGUUGCUAUUAUAGUUAAUGUGCACAUUAAGAUAAUGCAGAGAUGAAUGUCUGAAUCUCAGUUUUCAGUUGCAAAAGCUGAGGAAGAUAAUGAUGAAAAGCAUAAACCAUCAACUCAGGCUCUCAGCUAUCAUAAUGUUUCUCAGGUCUUUCUCUGACUUCUCUUUCUCUAUAUUUUUAAUUGUCCCAAAAUUUUUAGGUAAGAUAGACAAUGCUAUUCAUUCACUAAUUUUCCUGGUGCAUCUUUGAAGAAUCUUCUGAACACAUGUGUCCUUAUAUACUUCUACAGUGUUUAUUCUAAUGAUGGUCCUAAGCGAACAUACUUUAUUCUGGGAUUACAAAACUUGAUUUCCUAAAAUCUAUCUUCACUCUAAACUAGUGAAGAGUAUCACUCUAAACAGCAUAUUUUAUUUAUCUGUGUAGUACAUGGGAUUUCCGUUACGUCUGGUUUCAAUCGCUCUCUCUCUCUCUCUCUCUCUCUCUCUCUCUCUCUAUGUGAUCUAGCAUAUAUGUGUCGUAGCUGUAAUGUAUUGUAUGAUCUCUCAAAUAUUUCUGUAGUAAUGGACUUCACAUAUGGAAAAAAAUGCUGUUAUUAGUUGAGAACAUGUUAGUGUCAAUUUGGUUUCACCUGUUGACUUCAUCAACUGGUCUAACUAUUUUUAUUUGGUUUCAGUCUCAAUCUGUUCAUUCAUAGCAGGAAUUCAGAGUAGUUAUACCAAGACCUAAGCUUUUACCAGGCUUACAUGUUCAAAGCACCUAUGGUUACAGUAAAAAAUGGUUCUUCCUCUCGGUAUGGUCUCAUGCUCAACUGACAUUAGCCUCCCACUGUGUCAUGUAAGUCUCAUUAUCCAAGCAUCUGAUAUAUUAGCUUAAACCUUACUGUCUUGAAACUCUCAUGAUUCACCUAUAAUAUUUUGGUUAAUAAUUGAAGGUAAGUUAUAAUUUGUGCUGACAAAAAAAGUUAAAAUUUCUUUAUUUGUUAUGAAGCUCUGUUUUUCUAUCCUCCAUUUCAUUUUUUGGUCUACAGAAACAGCUAUGUGGUAACAAUGCAGCCAGUAUCCGCAAUGUGUGAUUGGCAAGUUUGGGCAUACCUGCAAAUUUGUUCACUCCAUGAGCUCUUAUUCUUCUUCCUUAAGCUACAGCCCGAUGGUUUCUUCAGUCAUUGACAUGCCCCUCACACCUUACCCUCUUGAGUCCUCAUUGCUCUAGCACCCUCUUGAGUCCUCAUUGCUCAGCACAUUAGCUCCAUCAUCAUCAUCCUCAGAUGAAAACGCACAGAGCUUCACUCUUCGAGCUCCAAGAAAACUCAAAACCACAACACAAGUGGUGGCUCUGAACCGUUGCUGCUGAAGUCUCUCCGGCUUCUUCUUUGACAACCAGCCUGAGCCAUUCUGAUCCUGCUAAGACCAAAAAGAAUACCCAGUUAGCAUUGAGUUUAAGACUUAGAAGUUAAAGAUACAAAGCUCAAAAGGGAGAACCUCACUCUACUUCUUCUAUUGUUCCUCUAUUGCUCUUUUCUUUUUAUCAAACUUGCAUGAACUGAGGACAUGAAAGAUGUCUAUAAACUAUAAACAUGUUUGGGACCAAGUAAGAUAGAUUGAACUAUAAUGAGUUUUUUUUUUUAAUAUAUGAAAAAAAGGAACUAAAAAUAUUUGUGUAUAGCUUUGAUAAAAAAACUGAUCAUUGUAAUUUUUUAUGCAUAGCUCUUGCAUUUCGUUAAGUUUCUUUCAUGAUCAAAAUUUGUGUAAUGUUUUACUACGAAUCUCUUUAACUUUAUACUCUUAAAUAGUAUGGCUAAAAAAAUACAGCAAAUACAAAUAUAUGCAAAUUGUUUAAAAACAUCUGUAUAAAUACACUAUUAGGCGAGAGUGCACUGCACUAAAAUUAUAUACCGAUUGCUUGAUCAAGAAGUUAUUACUAAACCAAGAUGAAUAUAACAAAACCAAAAAAAUUUGAUCCCACAAUAUCCGAAAACGUUAUACACGUUUGUCAAGCCCAAACAAGGCUACAUUAACAAACGUAAUAGUCCAAUGUCUCUAACGGCCCUUAAUUUGUUGAUAAAAUGUGCCACUUAUUACUUCAAACCGAAAAUACCGUGAUAUAUCAAAAUAUCAAAUGUUAUUGUAUCUAGAAAAUAUAAUUUUUUAUAGAAAUUAUGUACUGGUUUAAAAAGGUCAACUAUAGUUUCAGCAAUGAUAUGAAAAUAGAAAAUAUAUAUAGUUUCAUAGUACGAACGAUAGACCAAUAUAAAAGAACCCGGCAAAAAAACACAAAAAACAAAAGAAAAAUUAGAUGAUUAAAACAAAUAGAUUAAAAUAUCCACACAACCAUAAUAAAAUAGAACUUAUCUCUAUUCAAUUUGAGAAAUUACCACAAAUACCAUAUUCGUAGUACUAUUUAUUAUGUUUACACUAACUAAUUUUACCCCCACUUUUAAUGAAGAAUAAAAAACAUUUAUAUCCUAAGGUUAACUAAUCUAAACUUAGGGUUUUAAGUUAAAGAGUGAGAUAGGUUUUUUGAAAUGUGAAAUUUAAGAUUCUAAAAAAUAUAUAAAUAAAUACUUAAAAAAUAUUUAAAUAUUUUAAAAAUAGUUUCAAACACAAUUUUCAAAAAAGAAAUUUUUAAAAAAUAAAAAAAAUUAUUAGGAUAAUUUUAAAUAAAAAUAGUUUAUUAGUAUAAUUUGUAUAUAUUAUUACAUUUUCUGAAUUAUUUUUUUUCUAAUUUUGUUUCCUCUAAAAAUAGAGAACAAUGAAAGUUACUCUCAUCUUAAUUCAAACCAAAAAUAUUUAUUAAAAACAAUAAUUUGAUCUCAAAAUUAUUUUAUUGUUUGUUUCUCUAUAAUAUCAUUUCUAUAAUGAUUUUAAAUGCUUUAUAAAUUAUUAUAAAAUUAUAUAAAAUUGUUUUUAUUAUAACUUCCCGCCCGUAGGGCGGGCCGACCCUAGUAUCCUAUAAGGUAUAGUAUCUUAUUAUGUAUCAAUGAAAGAUUAGUACCCUAUAUUAUUCGACCUACGAGUUAUUUUACAUAUGAUGACUUAAGGCAGGGACUCGGACCACACUACCAACUUUCAAAAUAUGCAUGCAAUAGUUGUAAUAAAUAUAACCAGUGCACGACAAAAUCUCGUUCUUUUUACUAGAACGAGACUAUGGAUAUUAAUUAGGGAUACUAAAUACACGAUCGAGUUAUAUAGCACAUCCUCAUGCAUCAUGCAUGCAUGCAACUACUUUGCUUUGAAACUACUUUAUCUCACUGAAAUUUUAAGACUAUAGGCAGCUCGCAAUAGUCUCCAUUUAAUUUUAACUGAGAAUAUCCUAGAGGUAUAGUAUCGUUUGUUAUCUUUCGUGUUACAAAAAUAGUAUAUUUUGUUAUGUGCCGAUGAAAGUUAAUUAUUAUCCCAUAUUAUUCGACCUACGACUUCAUUUACUUCGGAUGACUUAAGGUAGGAUUAGGACCACACCAGCAACUUUUGAAAUAUGCAUUAGUUUUGUAAUAAGCAACCAGUGCGCGACAAAAUCUCGUUCUUUUUACUAGAGCGAGACUAUAGAUAGUGACAAUAAAUAUUACCCCCACGAAUCAUAUAUGUACAUGGAACCUCAUGCAUGCAACUACUUUGCUUUUAAAACUCUUUUCUUUUGUCUCCUGGCCCGUGGGACCACAUAAUAAACAAGUUCUGACGCUAAUUACAAUCAUUAAACAUAAGCAAGAAGAUUAAUUAUGACUAAGGAAAUUUGCAAGGAAAGAACCUUAGACGAUGGUGGAUGUUGUCGAUCAUUUUAGUAUAAUGACAACUUAGGUUUAAGUACCAAGUUGUAACAUAGAAAACGAAUCUGCAUGACGUAGAGCGACCAAGUAUUGAUUUGUGUUGUUUAGAUCAGACACGUUAAAGCCAGCAACCUACUGACUUAGUUCUGGUUGUUUAUUAAGAAUGGUCACCAACUAGAAUGUGCAAGAGGUAUAGCCUUUCAGGGUAAGUUAUUUCGAAUCACAACGCAUGAUGUUAAAACGUUCCUGAACAUUUAGAAUAUUUUGCGACACUCUUUUACAAAAUUUGGAUGCGUGAUCGUAGAGUUUUGUAGCGUUUCACCACUGUCUUUUUCAUAAAUUUAUUUAUUAAUUUUAAACUUAAAAUCCGAAUAGAAAUAGAGAAAAAUAUGUUCCUAUUUGGCAUUUGCUUUUACAUAUUCCUAAUGUUUUUUUUUUAUUUGAUGAGAAUCUUUAAUGGAAAAGGUAUUUCAAUUCCUUUUUAAAAAGUUCAUAUAAACACAAACUGAAGCAACUGGUACUAUUUUUCCCUAAACAUUUUCAGAUAAUUCUAUUUCCAAUAAUACACACACACACAAUAAUACAAGCUGUUAUACCGAUUUUUUUUUCUCAAUAUAAGGAUUAACUGGAAAUUUUGCCGUGUUUUAUUUUGUCUUUUGUGAUGUAAACGCAUUGGAUUUAGAAAAGGAUGCUUUUGUGCGUUUAAUUAAAUUCACGUGCAGAUUCAGAAUUCAUAGGCUCUUGGGAUUAAUCCUAAGUCACAAUCUUAUAAUUAAUCGCAUCCUAUAAAUGGAGUGUGCCCUUUCUUUUUCUUUUGUUAUUUUCUUAACAAGGAGUGUGCCCUUUCAACCUUCAAACUAUUCGCCACAUUACAGAUACCGAUCGAUAACUAGUAUUAAGCUAAAGAAAAUAGUACCAUUAAGCAUAAAAAUUGUGCUGCUAGAUAAUUAUUACUAUGUUUGAAAUAAUUUUCUUUUGAUAAAUAUUGUACGAUUAUUCGAGCAAUGUAUAAUUGGAUCACGUUUUUUAGCAAUACAUUACGAUUAAUCUUGUUUUGUCGGUGUCAAAGAGGAGAGAGAGAACACCUGAGCUCAAUCAAGGGUUAGAUAUAUAGAUCAUAUCUUAUUAUUGUUUAAUCAUCUUUAUAUACAAAAUAUGUGAUUCUCAGAUUUUAAUCUUAUUUUUUUAGCAACUCUCAUAUUUGAAUUUAUUACCCAAUUUGUUGACAAAAAACUAUUACCAAAUUUAUAUAUGUAGUUAGUUAUAGAUAUAAUAUAAUUUAUAAAAUAGUAACAAAAUAUAAAACAAUUAAGUUUGUUAUUUAAAAUACAUAUAUGUAUAAAAGUUUAACUGAUAAUUAUUUUCGACCAUAAUACUACAAGUAACUGAACACCUGAGCUCAAUCAAGGAGUAUAUUUUUAUACAUUAUCAUUAAUUUUAAUUAUUAAUUAAUUACAAGUAAUGAUUUCAAUCGAAACAAGUAAACACAUUAAAGUAUGGUGAAUAGCAACUGUAUAUACGAUUUUUUUUUUUUUUGCGUAAAAUGUUAAAUACUGUAUAUACUAUUUACAAUAUUGAAUUUUGUAUGUAUCACAAAAUUAAUUGUUCUACAAGAAUUAUGUACAUUCAUUAGAGUUAUGUUCUUUAACAUAUACAACCAUGCACCAUCGUUUUCCUACAUGCAUUAAGUUAGAAUAUGGGAUAGUAUCAUAGUACUUUACAUAGAUUUGUAUUUUUCUGAAAAGUGAACCUCAAUAUAAUAUAAAUCUAACCUCAGGAUUAUACAAAUAUUAAAAUGUCUUUAGCCACACUAGUUAAUGGCGUUCACACAAUUAUAUAUUUUGACAUAUACUAUAUCCAGGAUAUUGAUGAGCAUACAUACAUAUACACACUAGAAACAAAUUAAAUUGCGAAAUAUAUCAGUGAAUCAGUAGAACUAUAUAGCUUCAUCAAAUUUAUGGUUUAUUAUGUUGUAAGAAAACCACAUAUAUAUUGCAUCUAAUUUCUAUGGAACAAAAACUAAAACCCGAGGGGAUCCAGACAAACCGAAACAACCAACAAAACGAAUAAACAAUUGAAUGGAAUGCUCGUGAAAUAAAGCUUAUUCUUCGCUGUCGAGUUAGAGAUCAUGUGCCGCGAGAGACACGCUGACCUCCCUCCAUUUAACACUUCUGAGCUCUCUCUAUAUAAACUAAUUAAAACAAAAUCUUUUUACAUGAAAUAAAAAGUAGUAUUAGAUCUUAUCUUUCUAAUAUAUAGUCCCUUCUAAAUAUAAUUAAGUUGUUUUCUAUAGCGACGAAAGUUGCGAUUGAUGGCUUGGGUUGACCUUGGAUAUGUAUUUAUGCUCACCCGGCAUUUCAAUUCAGUCUCCUUCAAUUCAGUUAUACAUAUUUACUAUAACUUAUUAUUCAUUCAUGGUCAAUCAUUUUAUUACAAGUUAUAUAUACACCAUUAUAAACAAUAGUUAUCACGCCUAAAAAAAAAGUGAUCACAAACAUUUUUAUUUAAAAGUUAUUUAAUUAUUUUUUCCUUUAUAAUACUAAAGGUUUCUAAAUUUAUAUAUAUAUAUAAUUAUGUAAAUCCGGUUAAACCGGUCCGACCAAUAGCCCAAUGAUAAUACCGAAUUAGUAACUGAUCCGGUUUUCAAAACAUUGUCUCUAGAUACUCCUGGUUCUUUCACCAUGUUCAAUCUUAUCCACAUAUAUAUAUAUAUAUAUAUAUCAUACUUGUUUGAUGAUUUAAUAUGGAAUUAUCGAGAAGAUGUCUCUAAUUUAUAUCGUUAUCUUUUGUAAUUCAGUGGGUAAUUUAAUUUAUCUUGGAAAAUGUUUUAAAUAAAGGUGAAUUUGUUGCAUAGCUAGUUUUAAUGAUACAAGGACAGAAUCACAAACAAUUACCUGUUUUAUGUGAUUUACAUAAAUAAUGUGAUUUGAUGUAAAGCUAGAUUAGUUUCAUAUACGUAUGUAAGAAUUAUGUUUUUCAUAUUUUAUAACAUAGUUUUAUUCUAGUGACAUAGUUUGUUUUCUUAAAACGGUAAAUCUUUACCUCUUUUCAUAUUUUCUUAUCGCCAGUUUUUAAAAACCAUUUUAUGAAUGAUAAUGGAGAUUAAAAAAAAAUGAUAACGGAGUUCACUUUGUACCAGAGCAUUACAAUUAAGUUGCUUUUUAAAAAAACUUUACAGUUAAAUUAUUCUAAAACAAAAAUUACCAAAAGGGUCGCCUGCCAUAUGUUUCUCCAGUGUAUUAAAUAUGAGAUCUGUUGUUUCAUCCUCCACAGCACACACUUCAAGUUUCAAAACAUAUUUCCUUUUCUUUCUGCCAAAUUACAUAUUUCUUUAUUUUAUUCGAUUGUUCUUAGGUCUGAGCACAUUUAUCUAGAACCUAAAAUUGAACCAAACCGAAAAACAAAUUUUGGUUCGGACUUAAGUUCUAUCAAUUAUACUAGUGGUUUAUAUAUCUUUAGAACCAAAAAAACUAGAAACGGAAUCGAAUCCGACAGAGAACAAAAAUUUCUAUAAUAUAGUUUAUAUAUUUAUAAAUAUUAGCUAUAUUUAGUUUUAAAAUAAUCAAAUAAUUUAAUAUAAUUUAUAAGUUGAAAUACCUAAAAAUCAAAUUAUUAUAAUACUUUUAUCCAAAAUAUUUGAAUUUAAUCCAAAAAAUUCUGAUUUUUUUUUUUAAUUUUAACCUAAAUUUAAUCAAAAAUCGAAACCGAAUGGGAUCCAAAAUUACUUUGCAUAUAAGCCUGUUCUUAAUUUUAUUAUGCAAACCGAACGAAAAACCGAAAUAAUUGAACCGAAAACAAACCAAACUUUCUAAAUAAUACUCUAACCGAUCCUAAACCUCUAAAAUCGAACAAUCGAAAAAUCAAACCGAUACCAAACCAAAAACCAAAUGCCCAAAACUAAUACGUUUAAUAAAGGAGAAAAUAUACAGGCUCAAAACUAGAAGGAACAUGCAAGUUACAUGUAUCAAGUUAAUAUCACAAACAUAUAAACCGCG